UAACCUCCGCAGGCUGGAAGCCCCCAGGCUGGGCUGGGCGAGUACCUCUUUGAAAGGCUCACCCUCAAGCAUGGCUAGGAGG
rnacentral:pre_miRNA from 1 species